GGAGGGAUCAUUAACACGUAUCCAAUACACGUUUACAAACCCAAACCGGUCUCCCAUGUGCCCAUAGAGGAAGGUGACUCGCAAGCCACAGGUGGAUCGAUCUCUUCGCGGAGAUUCCUACUUGCAGUCUACAGGUACCUUUGAGGCCAACCGAUUCUCUAUGGCGUAUAAAAGCCACCUGGGCUACUUGUGCCAACCCGGUAUCGACCCGGAGCCUUGUAGCCUUACUACUCCUUAAUUUUUUAAACCCCUUUCUUUUACUAUAGAACUGAUCUUAUGUCACCUACCCAGUGUGUUAUAGCUCUGGUGUAUGUACAUGUAUACGAAACGCGAACAACUCUUAGCAACGGAUAUCUUGGUUCUCGUACCGAUGAAGAACGCAGCGAAAUGCGAUACGUAAUGCGAAUUGCAGAAUUCAGUGAAUCAUCAAAUCUUUGAACGCAAAUGGCGCUCUCGGGAUAGCCCUGGGAGCAUGCCUCUCUGAGUAUCGGUUCUAUCAUCUCUUCGGCAGCGCCUUGUGUGUGACUUGUCGCACACCAGGACUCUGCCAGAAAGGAAAAUGAGUGUCCCGGCUUUCUCAAGAGUCCGAGUCACUUGAAAACUAUGCGACCUUCAGAACUCCUAGUAGCUUCUUGUUGUUGUAUGCCUCUUCGGUGGUGUACCGCAGGAAUAGUCCAGCCAUGGGUCUCCCUCACUCCUGUGAGGGCUGAUUGGCUUGUCUACUGGUGACGUGGAUAGAAUACCUUCGGGUGUUUCCCAAACGUCAAUAUCAGCGGAUGAGUCCGAUUGGAUUUUUUGUGUUUUAAUUAACCAAACAAUGGCCAAGGUUGGUGCGAACGACUAGUUGAGCCACUGAUUUACAUUGGUCUGCACUGAAAAUUACAUUAUUGGGUGUGUUGGGUGCAAGCUCAACGCCCAUUUUGAAUAUAGAUCUCAGAUGAAGCAAGAGGACCCCCUGAAUUUAAGCAUAUUAUUAAGGGGAGGAAAAGAAACUAACAAGGAUUCCCCUAGUAACGGCGAGUGAAGCGGGAAGAGCUCAAAAUGAAAAUCGGCCAUCCAUGCGGGUGUGUCGAGUUGUAGCCUAGAGACGUAUUGUCAGCGUGUGACCCAGGUAUAAAUCUUUUGAAACAAGGUAUCAUAGAGGGUGAGAAUCCCGUCUUUGACCUGGAGCUCGCCGCGUACGACGUACGUUCAUCGAGUCGAGUUGUUUGGGAUUGCAGCUCUAAAUGGGUGGUAAAUUUCAUCUAAAGCUAAAUAUCGACGAGAGACCGAUAGCGAACAAGUACCGUGAGGGAAAGAUGAAAAGAACUUUGAAAAGAGAGUUAAAAAGUACUUGAAAUUGUUAAGAGGGAAGCGCUGGAAACCAGUCCAUGUUAACUAGUAGUUAUACUUACUACCUGCUCUCGAAGAAGUAUUGCGGAUCAGAGCGCAAGCCUGGUCGGGUCUUGGACGAAGGGCAAGUGGGUCCUGUAGCUAUUAGUGGGUCAGAAUCAAUUCGAUUCGCGGGUGAAGACUACGAGGAAGGUGGGGUCUCCGGAUCUGUUAUAGCCUUGUAGGCCUGACCGUGGGUUGGAUUGAGGAUGUAACAAUGUGCGCCGCAAGGUUUCGAUUCCUAUGCUCCUGCUCGGUCAGCCGCUUUGGAGAGCAAUGCUCUGCGGGUAGCGAAGCUAAGUACUGAGUAUGGGAUAUCAGAUGCACAUUCGCGAUUCUGACAAAAUGGUUUUCAUCGACCCGUCUUGAAACACGGACCAAGGAGUCUAACAUGUAUGCGAGUAUUUGGGUGGAUUAAACCCUGAUGCGUAAUGAAAGUGAAGGCAGUUUCGGCUGCUGAGGUAGGAAUCUGGAGCUUGCUCUAGAGGCACUAUCGACCGAUCGUCACUUGUGAUAGAUUUGAGUAAGAGCAUAUCUGUUGGGACCCGAAAGAUGGUGAUCUAUGCCUGAACAGGGUGAAGCCAGGGGAAACUCUGGUGGAGGCUCGUAGCGAUACUGACGUGCAAAUCGUUCGUCUGAUUUGGGUAUAGGGGCGAAAGACUAAUCGAACCAUUUAGUAGCUGGUUCCCUC
rnacentral:misc_RNA from 1 species